CUAUAUUUGUGACAAAGUCCACCGCCUCAGCUCAGGGCGGUGCUCAGCUGCGACCCGUCGACCCUCCUUCAUUCCGGAAUGUUUUCUAGUUGCCAGAUUCGAUCUUCAACCGUGAGGAAAGGGAUUAAACAAACUGACAAGCAUGCAGGGAGAAGGCCUGUUUAAACCUGCUGCACGUCCAGGUUGCGGCAGUAAACUGCAGCUUAUUUGCUGGUAAUUAUUAAUUUUAUUAUUAUUUUUUGACAAAUUGCCAACAGGAACAAGACUGAAAGCCACAGAUGUGCAUUGAUAACAAAAUUCAUAACCUACUACAGAUACUCUACAAAUGGCAACCCUCGCCAUAAACCAGCAAUCUGCAUGUGGUGGGCGUGCACUCCUUAAUAUGAACUGUCUGUCUGCUGCUUUAUGGGGGAGGGGUGUAACUACAAGUUACACUUAUGGUUAGAAAUAACAAACAUGUUUUACUUAUAUGUUGAAACACAUUCUGUUCCGUUUUUGAGAGCCUGUCAGACAUGUUGAUCUGACCGUGUGGUCAUUUUUAAUCCAAUAGUUUGGUGUCCCAUUAAUGCUCUUGAAACUGUUCCUUUCUGGAUAAUGUAGUUGUCCCAUGCGUGGAGCAGGACUGCAACUAAUGAUUAUUUUCAUUAUUAAUAAAUCAAUUUUAAUAAAUCAAGUAAGUGUUAAGUCUACAAAAUGUCAGAAUAUUGUGAAAAAUGCCCAUCACAGUUUCUCAGAACCCACGGUGAUGUAUACAAAUUGCUUGUUUUGUCCAACCAACAGUCCUAAAUCCUAAAAUAUUAUAUUUAAAACUAUAUAAAACAGAGUAACGUGGCAAAUCCCAAGCUGUAGGUCGAUGGACACAGGUCAGACAUACUUCACAAAAAUACAGAGACUUGAUUAGCUGAGAUUUAAGUGUUUUUGAGACGUUUCCUCUUGCCACAUAAUGUUGAAGUGUUUGUAACUGUACAUUAGCUAGUUGCUUUAUGUUGCUCUGACAUUUCACAUGUAAAAAUAGCGCUCAACCCACACUCAUAUGACACCCCUGUGAUGCUGUGUUUGUAAUUGUGGUUUAAUUUAUUCAGUGCCUAAAUUGCUGGUGCAUUACUGACAAACACUGCAUUACAAUUUGAUUUGUAUAUCGUGGCAGAAAGAAAUAGAUUUUUUUCGACACAGUUCCAGUGCUGUAGGCUCGGGGGGGCUAGGCUAGGAGUGUGGUUGCAGGGUGAGUUGAGAAGUGUGGGGAUUGGGAGGCUGGUAGGAGGGGACACGUGUCAAAAAACAGGUUCAGCUAGUGCUACACCUUAUGCCUCUCCACACUUCUUUCUCAUGUAGAUGUCCUUGCACUCCCUGACUUUGUCCCCAAGCUCUCUCUGAAUAAGUCUGAGCUCCUCCCUGUCCUCUGACCUGAAGGCUCUCUUUUUUCGGCCUCAAAAUGACCAUGACAUGAAACCCACACGUGUGACAGUCUCUGCACGUCGGGAUGGUUUUGAGCUAUCAAGAAAACACCCGUUUACUGAGAGGAAGAAGGUUGGGCCAGAGGUUAUACAUUAAAAAGACGAAUACCAUUAGGUUGCACAUUUUCAAUAAUAAAAUUACAGUCUUUGUGAUCAUCUUGUUAACAUCAGUGACCCUGUGGUUGAUGAGGUUGUUCUCCCUCCCAGAGCUGCCCAACUUCAGUCCUCGUGUGUGUCUUUACCUGUCCAGGUCUCCUUGAUGCUGUUGAUCCCCAGUCAGCUCCAGGGGCAACACAACCUGGGUCACCCUGCACCCAAUCAGAGGGUGAAAGGAGAGUUUCUAUUCUGGGAGCUGGUGGGUCAUAUUGAUCAGAAACACUUUGCUGUGCUUUAAAAGGACACAGAUGAAGAUUUAUUUAAGGUGAUGAAAGCUGUCUGAUCAAAAAGCUCAGGGGAUCCUUUCUACUUAUCAUAGUUAGCUGAUUGUCACAAACCAGAGAUUUGAGAAUCAAAAAGAGAUCUAAGAUCUAACUAACACCUAAAUAACAAGCAACUGCAUUACUUAAUCUUAUUUUAUUUAAGUAGAAACAAGAUGAACUUGUGCUUAUGAUUGCUACAAUCAUAUCUUGUUUAAAACUAUGUAGAUCACAAAUAAAUGCCUGGAGUUUCAUUUAUAGAAAAUAAGAGCAAUUUAAAUCGCACUAUUGACGAGAAAAAUCAGAGAAAAGGGUAUUUUUUCCGAUCAGCCCUGAAGAGAGGAAGGAGGCGUAACAACAAUCAUACAAGAAGAAAUCUUUUGCAUACAAGGCAGAUAUUCCUGCUCCUACGCUGACAAUAGCCUCAAUAGAUCAGUACGACAUGUAGCAAGAAGUCACUGUUUAAGUAAGGAGCUCAGCUGUUUACUCAACUGGAAAAACUUGCUUUCUUGCUCUAAGUGAAACUGUCGCUACACUUGUUAACUGUACAUA